rnacentral:rRNA from 1 species
AUUGAACGCUGGCGGCAUGCCUUACACAUGCAAGUCGAACGGCAGCGGGGGAGAAGCUUGCUUUUCCUGCCGGCGAGUGGCGAACGGGUGAGUAAUACAUCGGAACGUGCCCUGUAGUGGGGGAUAACUAGUCGAAAGAUUAGCUAAUACCGCAUACGACCUGAGGGUGAAAGUGGGGGACCGCAAGGCCUCAUGCUAUAGGAGCGGCCGAUGUCUGAUUAGCUAGUUGGUGGGGUAAAGGCCUACCAAGGCGACGAUCAGUAGCUGGUCUGAGAGGAGGAUCAGCCACACUGGGACGGAGACAAGGCCCAGACUCCUACGGGAGGGAGCAGUGGGGAAUUUUGGACAAUGGGCGAAAGACUGAUCCAGCAAUGCCGCGUGUGUGAAGAAGGCCUUCGGGUUGUAAAGCACUGUUGUCCGGAAAGAAAUGGCUCUGGUUAAUACCUGGGGUCGAUGACGGUACCGGAAGAAUAAGGACCGGCUAACUACGUGCCAGCCGCCGCGGUAA